UACGUAGGUGGCAAGCGUUGUCCGGAUUUAUUGGGUUUAAAGGGCGCGUAGGCGGUUCCAUAAGUCAGUGGUGAAAUACGGCAGCUCAACUGUCGAGGUGCCAUUGAUACUGCGGAACUUGAGUGUUGAUGAGGCAGGCGGAAUUGACGGUGUAGCGGUGAAAUGCUUAGAUAUCGUCAAGAACACCGAUAGCGAAGGCAGCUUGCCAAGCAACAACUGACGCUCAGGCACGAAAGUGCGGGGAUCAAACAGG
rnacentral:rRNA from 1 species